CCUACGGGCGGCUUCAGUGGGGAAUAUUGGACAAUGGGCGAAAGCCUGAUCCAGCCAUGCCGCGUGUGUGAAGAAGGCCUUCGGGUUGUAAAGCACUUUCAGUGGGGAAGAAAGCCUUGGGGCUAAUACCCUCGAGGAAGGACAUCACCCACAGAAGAAGCACCGGCUAACUCCGUGCCAGCAGCCGCGGUAAUACGGAGGGUGCGAGCGUUAAUCGGAAUUACUGGGCGUAAAGCGCGCGUAGGCGGUCUGAUAAGCCGGUUGUGAAAGCCCCGGGCUCAACCUGGGAACGGCAUCCGGAACUGUCAGGCUAGAGUGCAGGAGAGGAAGGUAGAAUUCCCGGUGUAGCGGUGAAAUGCGUAGAGAUCGGGAGGAAUACCAGUGGCGAAGGCGGCCUUCUGGACUGACACUGACGCUGAGGUGCGAAAGCGUGGGUAGCAAACAGGAUUAGAUACCCGAGUAGUC
rnacentral:rRNA from 1 species